AGAUUGAACGCUGGCGGAAUGCUUUACACAUGCAAGUCGAACGGCAGCACGGGGGCAACCCUGGUGGCGAGUGGCGAACGGGUGAGUAAUACAUCGGAACGUGCCCAGUCGUGGGGGAUAACUACGCGAAAGCGUAGCUAAUACCGCAUACGAUCUACGGAUGAAAGCGGGGGAUCGCAAGACCUCGCGCGAUUGGAGCGGCCGAGUGGCAGUAGUUAGGUAGUUGGGUAGGGGUAAGCUCAACCAACGCCGUCGAUCUGUAGCUGGUCUGAGGAGACCGACCAGCCAACACGUGGGACUGACGACCGACCGGCCCAGACCUCCCGUAACGGG
rnacentral:rRNA from 1 species